rnacentral:rRNA from 1 species
CCUANGGGGGGCAGCAGUGGGGAAUUUUGGACAAUGGGCGCAAGCCUGAUCCAGCCAUGCCGCGUGCGGGAAGAAGGCCUUCGGGUUGUAAACCGCUUUUGUCAGGGAAGAAACGGUCUGCACUAAUACUGCGGACUAAUGACGGUACCUGAAGAAUAAGCACCGGCUAACUACGUGCCAGCAGCCGCGGUAAUACGUAGGGUGCAAGCGUUAAUCGGAAUUACUGGGCGUAAAGCGUGCGCAGGCGGUUAUAUAAGACAGAUGUGAAAUCCCCGGGCUCAACCUGGGAACUGCAUUUGUGACUGUAUAGCUAGAGUACGGCAGAGGGGGAUGGAAUUCCGCGUGUAGCAGUGAAAUGCGUAGAUAUGCGGAGGAACACCGAUGGCGAAGGCAAUCCCCUGGGCCUGUACUGACGCUCAUGCACGAAAGCGUGGGGAGCAAACAGGAUUAGAUACCCCUNUANUC